GUGCACAUUUCAUUGACCUGCUUUCUUUUGUACAUGUGAGCAGUGUUAUUUCUUCUGUGCUAUACAAAUAGUUGAAGGCUAAUUAGCAGUAUUAACUAUAAAUAGUAAUGCUGCCAGUCUCCUUCAGACAAAA
ensembl:snoRNA